GAAGUAACUGAAGGUCCCACUCGAGACUGCAGGUGGGGGGCUGGAUUGUACCCCUUUGUGGAUCACCUUGUGAAAGGAGGAAGAAUAGUUGCUUACAAGAUCAGGUGGUUUAGCGGCCGUUGGUCACCUUGGUUUGUUCCUGGAGUGAAUGAUGUGGAUGCAAAGUUCAGGACCCUUACAGCCAUCGUUGUUCAGUUCCAGCCAAGGCCAAGACAAUGAGGAGGGAGUGGUCGUAUUUCUACGACCACACACACAAAUACAUCCUCUGUACAAUGCAGUAGACGAUGUAUCUACAGAACAGCCUGAAUAAACGAUGCACCUCG